rnacentral:rRNA from 1 species
GGCGGACGGGUGAGUAAUGCGUAGGAAUUUACCUCAAAGCGGGGGAUAGCCCGGAGAAAUCCGGAUUAAUACCGCAUGUGCUCUACGGAGGAAAGCGGGCCUCUUCUUGAAAGCUCGCACUUUGAGAUAAGCCUACGUCGGAUUAGCUUGUUGGUAGGGUAAAAGCCUACCAAGGCAACGAUCCGUAGCUGGUUUGAGAGGAUGAUCAGCCACACUGGGACUGAGACGCGGCCCAG